GCAGUCGUGGCCGAGUGGUUAAGGCGAUAGACUACAAAUCCAUUGGGGUCUCCCCGCACAGGUUCGAAUCCUGCUGACUGCG
rnacentral:tRNA from 1 species